GCUGCCGUAGUGUAGCGGUUCGCAUUGAGGCCUGUGGAGCCUCCGGGAGGGGUUCGAGUCCCCUCGGCGGCC
rnacentral:tRNA from 2 species